AGUGCCUUCGAAACUGGUUUCCUUGAGUGUGGAUGAAGUAGGCGGAAUUUGUGGUGUAGCGGUGAAAUGCAUAGAUAUCACGAGGAACUCCGAUUGCGCAGGCAGCUUACUAAGCCAUAACUGACGCUCAGGCACGAAGGCGUGGGGAUCAAACAGGAUUAGAUACCCUGGUAGUCCACGCAGUAAACGAUGAUUACUAGCUGUUUGCGAUACAAUGUAAGCGGCUGAGCGAAAGCGUUAAGUAAUCCACCUGGGGAGUACGUUCGCAAGAAUGAAACUCAAAGGAAUUGGCGGGGGCCCGCACAAGCGGAGGAACAUGUGGUUUAAUUCGAUGAUACGCGAGGAACCUUACCCGGGCUUGAAAUGCAUCUGACCGGCCUUGAAAGAGGCUUUCCCUUCGGGGCAGAUGUGUACGUGCUGCAUGGUUGUCGUCAGCUCGUGCCGUGAGGUGUCGGCUUAAGUGCCAUAACGAGCGCAACCCUCAUCAUUAGUUACCAUCAAGAUGAAGCUGGGGGACUCUAAUGAGACUGCCAUCGUAAGAUGCGAAGGGAGGGUGGGGGAUGACGUCAAAGUCAGCACCGGCUCCUUACGGUCCGGGGACGACACACGUUGCUACAAUUGGGUGGCUACAGAGGGGCAUCUACCGUGGGCGGAUAGGGAAUGACUAAAUCUACAAACAGCCACUUCUCCAGGUUCGGGAUCGGUAGUUCUGGCAAGCUCGA
rnacentral:rRNA from 1 species